rnacentral:rRNA from 1 species
ACGAACGCUGGCGGCGUGGCUAAUACAUGCAAGUAGAACGCACAGUUUAUACCGUAUCUUGCUACACCAUAGACUGUGAGUUGCGAACGGGUGAGUAACGCGUAGGUAACCUGCCUGGUAGCGGGGUCUAACUAUUGGAAACGAUAGCUAAUACCGCAUAAUAUUGAUUAUUGCAUGAUAAUUGAUUGAAAGAUGCUAUUGCAUCACUACCAGAUGGACCUGCGUUGUAUUAGCUAGUAGGUGAGGUAACGGAUCACCUAGGCGACGAUACAUAGCCGACCUGAGAGGGUGAUCGGCCCAACUGGGACUGAGACACGGCCCCGACUCCCACGGGAGGCAGCAGUAGGGAAUUCUCGGCAAUGGACGAAAGUCUGAACGAGCCACGCCGCGUGAGUGAAGAAGGUUUUCGGAUCGUAAAGCUCCGUUGUAAGAGAAGAAAGGGUGUGAGAGUGGACAGUUCACACUGUGACGGUAUCUUACCAGAAAGGGACGGCUAACUACGUG